AGCGAACGCUGGCGGCAGGCUUAACACAUGCAAGUCGAGCGGCCGUAGCAAUACGGCAGCGGCAGACGGGAGAGUAACACGUGGGAACGUACCCUUCAGUACGGAACAACCAAGGGAAACUUUGGCUAAUACCGUAUACGUCCGUAAGGAGAAAGAUUUAUCGCUGAAGGGUCGGCCCGCGUCUGAUUAGCUAGUUGGUGAGGUAACGGCUCACCAAGGCGACGAUCAGUAGCUGGUCUGAGAGGAUGACCAGCCUCACUGGGACUGAGACACGGCCCAGACUCCUACGGGAGGCAGCAGUGGGGAAUAUUGGACAAUGGGCGCAAGCCUGAUCCAGCCAUGCCGCGUGGAUGAUGAAGGCCCUAGGGUUGUAAAGUCCUUUUAACGGGGAAGAUAAUGACGGUACCCGUAGAAUAAGCCCCGGCUAACUUCGUGCCAGCCGCCGCAGUAA
rnacentral:rRNA from 1 species